GGCUAAAGAAAAUGAUUUAUGCAGCACCAAGCAUAAGGGGGCCCCAUUCUCCACUGGCUGCUGCUGAUUCUUGCUUUCCAGACUCCUUCUCACAGUCAGCCCUGCUUGCUUCUGGUUCCCAGCCCACCUGUCUUGAGUCAUGUCCACAUCUGGGAUGAACAUGGUUGUAGCCUUGGAAAUAAAGAACAGCUAGAGGAGCCUGCCUUAUGGGCGUCUUGGCAAUCGGGUACACGACUUGCAAGAUGGACUGAGAAUUCCACAGGUGGACUGAUUAGUGGGUGGCAUUUCUGAGCUCCAGCAAGCUGUUAGCAUUAUGUCUGUUUGCUUUAGGUACAGAUGUGAAAUGAUUUGACAGUCAAUCUCAAAGUGUGUGUGAGUACUUGGGCUUUUUUUUUCUUUCUUUUUUUUUUUUCCCUUCUUGGUAUGUCAAAAUCUUCUUAUAAUACAAUCCUCAUCCGUCUGGUUGUCCAUUGAAAAAGCAUCCCCCCCGUACCCCCCUCCUGUAGCCAAUCUGGAUGAGUCAUGCAUUAUUCAGGAGAUAUAAUUUGUAAGUGUCAGAAGUGGCUUUGGUUUUUUUUCCUGUUCGCUCAUUUGAGGACCACAGCUGUCGCGACCAGGAGUCCUUGCCGGGCACGAGGGUUAUCCCACGCAAAGACGAAUUGUUUCCUUCGGGUAACUUGUCCGAAUGCAAGUUUCCUUAACAAAGCCGUAGUCGUAAGCAAAUGGUGUUUGACAAGUGGAAUUUUCUGUUGACUUGCUCAUUUCAUUUCCUUCUUUUGGCAGAAACACUUGGAACUUGAUUUUCUUGCAGUUACUAUGAGCCCAGAAUAAUAACUCCUAAAUCAACACUGAGGAGGUGGAAAGGUACAACAACACAAACACUCAGUAACAGUCAGGACAGCGACAUGGAAAUAUGAGUUGACAUGCAGAAUAACCACAAGUGGUGCAUAAUUUAUUGAUUGCACCUUGUCAUGGGAAUGAUGAGCUCUCAGCUAGAGGAAUUAUAUUUUAUAUAUUUCACAACUUUGGGGAAAAAUAUAAAUAUUAUAUAUACAAACUGCAUAUACACUAACUAAUGGAUAGAGCAAGAUUCCUAUUUCCAGUUAGUGAAAAAAUUAUGUUCAUCACAAGGCAAUGUUUUCUGGAGCCGAGUAAGCCCAGGAGAGGGGAGGCAGGAGGGCGGU